rnacentral:rRNA from 1 species
AUUGAACGAUGGCGGCAGGCCUAACACAUGCAAGUCGAACGAGUGGCGGACGGGUGAGUAAUGUCUGGGAAACUGCCUGAUGGAGGGGGAUAACUAAUGGAAACGGUAGCUAAUACCGCAUACCAUCAGAUGUGCCCAGAUGGGAUUAGAUUGUUGGUGGGGUAACGGCUCACCAAGGCGACGAUCCCUAGCUGGUCUGAGAGGAUGACUAGCCACACUGGAACUGAGACACGGACCAGACUCCAACAGGAGGCAGAAGUGGGGAACAGUGAACAAUGGCCGCAAGCAUGAUGCAGCCAUGCCGCGUGUAUGAAGAAGGCCUUCGGGUUGUAAAGUACUUUCAGCGGGGAGGCGUUACCCGCAGAAGAAGCACCGGAUAACUCCGUGCCAGCAGCCGCGGUAAUUC